GACGAACGCUGGCGGCGUGCUUAACACAUGCAAGUCGUACGGUAAGGCCCUUUCGGGGGUACACGAGUGGCGAACGGGUGAGUAACACGUGAGUAACCUGCCCACAACUUUGGGAUAACGCUAGGAAACUGGUGCUAAUACUGGAUAUGUGCUCCUGCUGCAUGGUGGGGGUUGGAAAGCUCCGGCGGUUGUGGAUGGACUCGCGGCCUAUCAGCUUGUUGGUGGGGUAGUGGCCUACCAAGGCGGCGACGGGUAGCCGGCCUGAGAGGGUGACCGGCCACAGUGGGACUGAGAUACGGCCCAGACUCCUACGGGAGGCAGCAGUGGGGAAGAGUGAACAAUGGGCGCAAGCCUGAUGCAGCAACGCCGCGUGCGGGAUGACGGCCUUCGGGUUGUAAACCGCUUUCAGCAGGGACGAAGCUUUUUGUGACGGUACCUGCAGAAGAAGCACCGGCUAACUACGUG
rnacentral:rRNA from 1 species